UACGGGGGGGGGCAAGCGUUGUUCGGAAUUACUGGGCGUAAAGGGUUUGUAGGUGGCUUGCUAAGUCAGACGUGAAAGCCCUCGGCUUAACCGAGGAACUGCCUGUCAGACUGUGAGGCUUGAGACCGGGAGAGGUGAGUGGAAUUCCCAGUGUAGCGGUGAAAUGCGUAGAUAUUGGGAGGAACACCAGUGGCGAAGGCGGCUCACUGGACCGGAACUGACGCUGAGGCGCGAAAGCGUGGGGAGCAAACAGG
rnacentral:rRNA from 1 species